GGCCCUAUCGUCUAGAGGCCUAGGACAUCGCCCUUUCACGGCGGUAACCGGGGUUCGAAUCCCCGUAGGGACGCCA
rnacentral:tRNA from 1 species